GACGAACGCUGGCGGCGUGCUUAACACAUGCAAGUCGAACGGAAAGGCCCUGCUUGCAGGGUACUCGAGUGGCGAACGGGUGAGUAACACGUGGGUGAUCUGCCCUGCACUUCGGGAUAAGCCUGGGAAACUGGGUCUAAUACCGGAUAGGAGCCAUUUUUAGUGUGAUGGUUGGAAAGUUUUUUCGGUGUAGGAUGAGCUCGCGGCCUAUCAGCUUGUUGGUGGGGUAAUGGCCUACCAAGGCGGCGACGGGUAGACGGCCUGAGAGGGUGGACGGCCACAUUGGGACUGAGAUACGGCCCAGACUCCUACGGGGGGCAGCAGUGGGGAAUAUUGCACAAUGGGCGCAAGCCUGAUGCAGCGACGCCGCGUGGGGGAUGACGGCCUUCGGGUUGUAAACUCCUUUCGCUAGGGACGAAGCUUUUUGUGACGGUACCUAGAUAAGAAGCACCGGCUAACUACGUG
rnacentral:rRNA from 1 species